AGCUACCGCCAUGCCACCCUGAACAAGCCCGAUCCCGUCUGAUCUCGGAAGCUAAGCAGGGUCGGGCCUGGUUAGUAGUUGGAUGGGAGACCACCUAGGAACACCAGACGCUGUAGGCG
rnacentral:rRNA from 1 species